GAUGAAGAACGCAGCGAAAUGCGAUAAGUAAUGCGAAUUGCAGAAUUCAGUGAGUCAUCGAAUCUUUGAACGCACAUUGCGCCCUGUGGUAUUCCGCAGGGCAUGCCUGUUCGAGCGUCAUUUCAACCCUCAAGCUCUGCUUGGUGUUGGGCCCUGCCCGCUGCGGCCGGCCCUAAAGACAGUGGCGGUGCCGCCUGGCCCUGAGCGUAGUACGUCUCUCGCUCCAGUGCCCGGUGGUAGCCUGCCAGAACCCCAACUCUCGUGGUUGACCUCGGAUCAGGUAGGGAUACCCGCUGAACUUAAGCAUAUCAAUAAGCGGAGGA
rnacentral:misc_RNA from 1 species